UACAACUUUCAACAACGGAUCUCUUGGCUCUCGCAUCGAUGAAGAACGCAGCGAAAUGCGAUACGUAAUGUGAAUUGCAGAAUUCAGUGAAUCAUCGAAUCUUUGAACGCACCUUGCGCCCCUUGGCAUUCCGAGGGGCACACCCGUUUGAGUGUCGUGAAAUUAUCAA
rnacentral:rRNA from 1 species